GUAGCUCAGUCGGUACAGCGUGGGACUCCCGAUCCCAGGGCGUGGGAUCGAGCUCCUCC
rnacentral:tRNA from 1 species